rnacentral:rRNA from 1 species
CGACCGGCGCACGGGUGUGUAACGCGUAUGCAACCUACCUUUAACAGGGGGAUAACACUGAGAAAUUGGUACUAAUACCCCAUAAUAUCAUAGAAGGCAUCUUUUAUGGUUGAAAAUUCCGAUGGUUAGAGAUGGGCAUGCGUUGUAUUAGCUAGUUGGUGGGGUAACGGCUCACCAAGGCGACGAUACAUAGGGGGACUGAGAGGUUAACCCCCCACACUGGUACUGAGACACGGACCAG